rnacentral:rRNA from 1 species
AUGGAGGGAAAACAACAAUGUGACAUGGUGGACCCUGGAUUCAAGCUUUGCGCUCCAGUUCUGAAGAGAGCAGCAGGUAGACCAAGGAAGAGUCGAAUCAGACCUUGCAGCGAAGGAGCUGGACUUGGAGCGAGGAAGCGUAAGUGCACAAGGUGUGGUGGGUCUGGUCAUUUCGGUAAGUAUUGUGAUAACACAGUAGAUCCAGCGUUCGGAGAGAGUUUUGAUGAAGGCUUCGAUGAAAAUGUUGGUCAGCAGCCGGUUGCCUCAACAGAUGAUGAAAAUGAUGGUCAACAGCCGGUUGCAUCAGAUGAGGAUUUUGACAAGGUUCCAAAUGAUGAUGGU